rnacentral:tRNA from 1 species
GCCUUUGUGGUGUAACGGUAGCACACUUGGCUCGUAUUCGAGAGGUACAGGUUCGCGUCUCGGUGAAGGCA